GACGAACCGUGCGAACGUUGUUCGGAAUCACUGGGCUUAAAGGGCGCGUAGGCGGGCCACCAAGUCCGUGGUGAAAUCCUCCGGCUCAACCGGAGAAGUGCCGCGGAUACUGGGGGCCUCGAGGGGGGUAGGGGCGUGCGGAACACUGGGUGGAGCGGUGAAAUGCGUUGAUAUCCAGUGGAACUCCGGUGGCGAAGGCGGCACGCUGGACCCCAUCUGACGCUGAGGCGCGAAAGCCAGGGGAGCGAACGGG
rnacentral:rRNA from 1 species